CCUACGGGGGGCAGCAGUGAGGAAUAUUGGUCAAUGGACGAGAGUCUGAACCAGCCAAGUAGCGUGAAGGAUGACUGCCCUAUGGGUUGUAAACUUCUUUUAUAUGGGAAUAAAACGUUCCACGUGUGGGAUUUUGUAUGUACCAUAUGAAUAAGGAUCGGCUAACUCCGUGCCAGCAGCCGCGGUAAUACGGAGGAUCCGAGCGUUAUCCGGAUUUAUUGGGUUUAAAGGGAGCGUAGGUGGUUUGUUAAGUCAGUUGUGAAAGUUUGCGGCUCAACCGUAAAAUUGCAGUUGAAACUGGCAGUCUUGAGUACAGUAGAGGUGGGCAGAAUUCGUGGUGUAGCGGUGAAAUGCUUAGAUAUCACGAAGAACUCCGAUUGCGAAGGCAGUUCACUGGACUGCAACUGACACUGAGGCUCGAAAGUGUGGGUAUCAAACAGGAUUAGAUACCCUUGUAGUC
rnacentral:rRNA from 1 species